rnacentral:tRNA from 2 species
GGUGGGUUGGCUGAGCGGCUUAAAGCAGUGGAUUGCUAAUCCACGGGCGUGUAAAAAGCGCCACAGAGGUUCGAAUCCUCUACCCACCGCCA